CCUAGCCGCCUUGCUCCUGUGGUCCGGUCGCCUUCGUCCCGCGCUCCGUCCGCCUUUCUCCUCGAGGUCCGGCCGCUCCCCCUUUCCCCGAGGCCCCACGGCAGCGUCGCCGCCGCCCAACCGCUUGGUCCACAAGCUAGGAAUCUGGGCCGCCCUCCUCGCCGUGGUGGCCCUGCUGGCCGUCAGCGACAGAAGCGGGGUGGAGAGUUUUAAAGCUUAUCUGGUAUAUUUUCUGUGUGCCCUGCAGCAGUUCUUCAGUGCGCAUAAAAAAGACAAGCAGUUCAAUUACUAAAAUACUAAAUUCAUUUUUCAGUUCAGUUCAAUUGACAAAUUUAGAUCAGUCCAAAUCCUUGUUAUAGUUUCUGUUCAAAUUCUUAUUACGUAGUGCCUGCAUGCUGAUCCAUCUACAAGUAGACAACAAUUGCAGGAUCUGCGCACAACACUCGGUACCGAGGCAAAAUUCAUAGUUGUAGUUGUCUGCAAUUUACUAUGGCAAAAGGUCAGAAGAUUGUCCUUCCAGCGCGUCUGGCCACCUCCCCGUAGCACCGCCUCCAUCUCGCGCGCCGCCCCGCUUCCCCACAGCGUGCUGCCGCAGGCAUAACCCUACAUCGCACAUUGAGAAAUGGUGGCACGCGGGGUGUGAGGCGGCGUCUCCCCACCAUUUUUGUAGGUUGCCGCAAAAACAAGAUGCACAAGUUCAUCUUUUAUAUGCUUUUCAGUACAUCUACUUUCCAAUGGGUACGUCCAACGACAAUGAGUAGGCGGCAAGUGUACUGGUGAGCAGCAGGACGGAGGCAUGAGGCAGUUGAGUAGGUGUGUGCGGUGAGCAGCUACUGAACUGAUUCUGACACUGGAAUAUUAGUCCCACACAGCCUCUCAAGACCUUGUCAUUGUCUCUGAACCUGGUGGUCUUCGUGGCCCUGCUUGAACCUUCAUGGCUCAGGCCGUUCAUUACCUCCACCCCGAGGUCGUUCGACGAUGCAGCGCUCAAGCCGUUCACCCUUACCACCACAAGCCGUUCACCUCCGCCACACGAGGCAGUGCGACGACGCAGCAAUCAGGCGGUUCACUCUGCCACCACAAACCGUUCAUCUCAGCCAUAGGAGGCCGAUGCAACACUAAGGAUGUUGUGUUCUUUUUCAGUACAUGUUUUGUGUGCUUAUCAGUUAACCUACUUAACGAUUAUAUGUACAAUUUCCCCUUGGUUUACGUGUUCUUCCUAUAGCACAACAGGUGUUGUGUGUCAUGCCUUAAUAAGCAUUUUAUAAAACCUUGUAUGGAUCGAAACUAGCAUAUGUUAUGUUCUAUUCUUGUAAAUGAAGCU